GAUGAACGCUGGCGGCGUGCCUAAUACAUGCAAGUCGAGCGAACGGACGAGAAGCUUGCUUCUCUGAUGUUAGCGGCGGACGGGUGAGUAACACGUGGAUAACCUACCUAUAAGACUGGGAUAACUUCGGGAAACCGGAGCUAAUACCGGAUAAUAUUUUGAACCGCAUGAUUCAAAAGUGAAAGACGGUCUUGCUGUCACUUAUAGAUGGAUCCGCGCUGCAUUAGCUAGUUGGUAAGGUAACGGCUUACCAAGGCAACGAUGCAUAGCCGACCUGAGAGGGUGAUCGGCCACACUGGAACUGAGACACGGUCCAGACUCCUACGGGAGGCAGCAGUAGGGAAUCUUCCGCAAUGGGCGAAAGCCUGACGGAGCAACGCCGCGUGAGUGAUGAAGGCCUUCGGAUCGUAAAACUCUGUUAUUAGGGAAGAACAUAUGUGUAAGUAACUGUGCACAUCUUGACGGUACCUAAUCAGAAAGCCACGGCUAACUACGUG
rnacentral:rRNA from 1 species